rnacentral:rRNA from 1 species
CCUACGGGUGGCAGCAGUCGAGAAUCAUUCACAAUGGGGGAAACCCUGAUGGUGCGACGCCGCGUGGGGGAAUGAAGGUCUUCGGAUUGUAAACCCCUGUCAUGUGGGAGCAAAUUAAAAAGAUAGUACCACAAGAGGAAGAGACGGCUAACUCUGUGCCAGCAGCCGCGGUAAUACAGCGGUCUCAAGCGUUGUUCGGAAUCACUGGGCGUAAAGCGUGCGUAGGCGGUUUCGUAAGUCGUGGGUUAAAGGCGCGGGCUCAACCCGCGGACGGCGCAUGAUACUGCGAGAGUAGGGGAAUGGAGGGGGAACCGGAAUUGUGGGUGUAGCAGGGAAAGGCGUAG